rnacentral:rRNA from 1 species
AUGAAACAUCUCAGCUGGAACUGCCGGGGGCUUGGGAACCCUGAGGCAGUACGGGAGCUUCGUAAAAUUGCGAAGCAGGAAGGGCCCAGCCUAAAUUUUGUGAUGGAAACAAAGAUUAGGGCGAAGAGAGUCGAAAAUUUGAAGCAUACACUUGGUUUUCCGGGCUGUUUUGCUGUUGACAGUGCAGGGCUUAGUGGUGGCCUCGGCUUGUUUUGGUCAAGUGAGAUCUCUGUUGAUCUUCAGAGUUAUAGUUCCGGCCAUAUCGAUGUGAUGGCGCGGAAAGUUGGUUCCCCCUUGCACGAAUGGAGAUUUACGGGGUUUUACGGAGCCCCGAGAAGCGAGGAUCGGCACCACAGCUGGAGUUGCUUGAGACGGUUACACGCAAUACCGCAUCAAGCAUGGUUAUGUCUUGGUGACUUCAAUGAAACGAUGUAUGCCACAGAACACUAUAGCAGAGCUCAGAGGGCGGAGUGGCAGAUGCGUGCGUUUCGGGACGUCCUAGAUGAUUGCUCCCUGCAGGAUCUUGGGUUCGCAGGGGUGCCAUACACAUGGGAUAAUGGUCAGGCCGGCGAGAUGAAUGUGAAAGCCCAACUGGAUCGAGGGGUGGCCAAUGAAGCUUUUCUUCAGAGCUUCGAAGUCGCACGGGUGAGACACAUUAGCUCAGUGGAGUCGGAUCACUGUUUUGCUUUGGUUGAGCAACAAGUUCUACAACACACGAGAGGACCAAAGCAGUUUCGAUACGAAGAUGUUUGGCAGUCUCAUGCUGAAUAUGAUCAGUUGGUUGCGGAAGCGUGGCGACGGAAUCAUGCCGGCCAAGAUCUUGCCGCUAUUCAACACACAUUGCAACAACUCCAAGUUGAUCUUGGGGCAUGGGGUGCAAAAGAGUUUGGUUGUCUCGCUAAGAGGGUUUGGAAAUUACAAAGAAAGCUUGAAGUCUUGAGGAGGAGAUCCAUUGGACGAGGGCCUUCUGACGAGGAAAAGUCAAUCGUGCGGCAACUGCGGGAAGCAUUGCGGCAAGAGGAGAUUUGGAUGCGGCAAUGUUCGUGCGUGCCAUGGCUACGGAAAGGUGAUCGAAAUACGGCAUACUAUCACACCCUAGCAGCGCAGCGGAAGCAAGUGAACCGCAUUGCCCAUCUUCAGCGCUCGGACGGGUCGACAUGUGCGACCGAGGAUGAAGAUAAGGCGGAAGUGCAAUCAUUCUACCACGAUCUGUACUCCUCUCAAGGUUAUAAUGAUAUGAAUGAGUUGCUUCAGUUUGUCCCGGCGCGUGUAACCGAGGACAUGAAUACCUCCUUGGAUAAACCUUUCGAGCCGGACGAGGUGCGCGUUGCCCUUUUCCAAAUGUCUCCAUCCAAAGCACGGGGCGUUGAUGGGUUUACCGCAGGGUUUUUUCAAAGGCAUUGGGAUCUCAUCAAGGAUGACUUAGUGCCGGCGAUCCUUGGUUUCUUGAAUGGGGGUGAUUUACCUUAUGGCUUCAAUGAUACUUCUAUCACACUUAUUCCUAGGGUACGGAACCCUCAGUCUAUCACUCAAUACCGGCCGAUUUCUCUAUGUCCUGUUCCCUACAAAAUUGCUGCCAAGAUGAUAACUAACCGCUUCAAAGAGUUCAUGGAUAUAGUUGUUAGCCAGGAACAGAGUGCUUUUGUCCCUGGUUGUCUGAUCACUGAUAACGUGGUGGUGGCGUUUGAGAGUGUCCACACAAUGAGGCGAAGGAAGAAGGGAAAGAAUUUCUCGUGUGCUGUCAAGCUAGACAUGAUGAAGGCCUACGAUAGAGUUGAAUGGCACUACCUCGAGGCGAUCAUGGCCAGGCUUGGUUUUAGUGCUCAUUUCGUGAACUUGGUACUGAAAUGCGUCACUUCGGUUCAUUUCUCGGUGAGGGUGAAUGGGGAGUUGCUGCCAUUCUUCACCCCGUCUAGGGGGCUGCGGCAGGGCUGUCCUAUGUCGCCAUUUCUUUUCUUACUCUGUGUCGAAGGAUUUACGUCUCUGCUCAAAUUCUAUGGGGGCAUUCAUAUUGACAGGGGCAUCCGUGUCUCCUUUCGAGCACGGUGGGUGAGUCAUUUACUCUUUGCCGAUGAUAGUCUCAUCUUCAUCAGUGCAACUCAGGAGAGUGCGGACCGACUCAAUGCGAUUUUGUUGAUUUAUGCUUCCUGCUCGGGCCAGGCAGUCAAUCGUGCCAAAAGUACCAUCUUUUUCUCGCCCAAUACACCACAUGCAAGACGGCAAGCAGUCAAACUGGUUCUUGGUGUUCAUAUGGAGGCAUUUAGUGACAGAUAUUUGGGCUUACCCACAGCGGUUGGGAGAAUCACUAGUGAGACUUUUGGCCAUAUUGGGGACAGAUCCAGGAGCAAAAUGAAUGGAUGGGCAGAGCGGCUACUAGCUUGUGCGGGGAGAGAAACGCUUAUUAAAUCAGUGAUACAGGCCAUUCCAACCUUCAGUAUGAGUUGUUUUCGUCUAACGAAGAAGGUCUGCAAAGGCCUCACUGCUAGUAUGGCCAAAUACUGGUGGAGUGGAUCUCUUGAUCGACGAUCUAUGCAUUGGCUAUCAUGGGAGAAACUUGCAUCACCGAAGUGUCAGGGAGGAAUGGGUUUUCGCGAUCUUGAGUUAUUCAACCUGGCACUACUUGGUAAGCAUGGAUGGAGAUUUGUUACUAAUCCUAACUCUUUAUGUGCCCAAGUGAUGAAGGGGCGUUAUUUUCCGAAUUGUGAUUUUAUGGAGGCUUCAGUACCACACACAUCGUCUGCUAUUUGGCGAGCGAUCAUCGCCGGAAGGGAAGCUCUCCAUGUUGGUCUCAUUAAGAGGGUGGGGGACGGCAGCACUAUCUCGAUUUGGGAAGAUAAGUGGAUCCCGGGCCUUUCAUCUCUGUCCCCUACGGUGAUGCCGGGAGGGACGACUCUUGCCACCGUCGGUGAGCUCAUCGACCAUGACAACGGGACGUGGCGGCGGGACUUGAUCUACAAUGUUUUCAUUCGACUGGACGCCGACACCAUAUUGAAUAUCCCCUUGCGCCGCGGUGGGGGUGAUGAUUUUCGAGCUUGGGCUUUUGAAAGAAGCGGCAACUACUCCGUAAAAUCUGCGUACCGUGCUCUCAUGACUCGGAAAGAGCGGCUAGCUCAAGAGGAAGGGGUCGUUACAAACUCCUCACAGACCGAUGAACGGAUGUGGAAGCCGCUUUGGAAGCUCAAGGUUUUGCCGAAGGUACGUGUAUUCUGGUGGCGGGUUAUUCGUCGCAUUCUUCCAGAUGAGUGCAUGCUUCGGUAUCGUCAUAUCAAACCUAUAAGCAGAUGCAAUGUCUGCCAUGCAAUGGAUGAGGAUCUCAUGCACGCCUUAGUGCAUUGCUCUCAUGCCAAACUUUUCUGGGAGCAGGCCCACGGUCUCUUUGGCGUUCGGCGGCCGCGGCUGCACCCUGAUUCAUGGUCUCGUGAUAUCAUAUGUGAUGAUCAAUUCACGGACACUGAAAGAGCCCAAAUGAUCUCUGUUAUGUGGGCAAUCUGGCAUUCGAGAAAUCGAGUGACUCAUGAUGAUGACUAG